UAAUUCGUCUGAGACAGAUCUUUAUCUAAUUAUAGUAAACUCACACUUGACUAUUCAGAAUCAAUUGUUAUCGCAAGCUACACUAUAUCAUUAAUGAUUUGGGAUUUUUUUAGCUGCUAUUGAUGC
rfam:Populus trichocarpa scaffold_7_contig_6, whole genome shotgun sequence.